GUAAGGAAUAUUGGACAAUGGGGGCAACCCUGAUCCAGCCAUGCCGCGUGAAGGAUGACGGCCCUCUGGGUUGUAAACUUCUUUUGUACGGGAAUAAACCCCUCUACGUGUAGAGGGUUGAAUGUACCGUGAGAAUAAGGAUCGGCUAACUUCGUGCCAGCAGCCGCGGUAAUACGAAGGAUCCAAGCGUUAUCCGGAUUUAUUGGGUUUAAAGGGUGCGUAGGCGGGCUAUUAAGUCAGUGGUGAAAGCCUGCAGCUUAACUGCAGAAUUGCCAUUGAUACUGAUGGUCUUGAGUACACUUGAGGUGGGCGGAAUGUGUCGUGUAGCGGUGAAAUGCUUAGAUAUGACACAGAACACCGAUUGCGAAGGCAGCUCACUAAAUUGUAACUGACGCUGAGGCACGAAAGCGUGGGGAUCAAACAGGAUUAGAUACCCUUGUAGUCC
rnacentral:rRNA from 1 species